GGCGCAGCGCCGCCCCGCGGCAGCCUCCGAGCGCCACGGACUUCGCCCUGUGCGCCAUCCUGAGCGGCCCCCGGCCCCCGCGCGCACCCGGGGCCGCUCGGGUGCACCCGCCGAUCCGCGCGAGUCCCCGCGCACCUGCCCCGAGACCGGGGCUCUUCGCCGCUCGUCUAAACCACCACGCGGUGCGACUCCCGACUUGCCCGUGUAGCCCGCUGAAGCGUGAGGUCCCCGCUGGCCUCGCCACGACCCUGCGCGCGCCCCGCUGGGGCCUGAUUAGCGUGCGGCCACGCAGACAGCAGGAAAUAGAAAGUCUCAGGAAACCAUUGCCGAGGGCGGGCCACGGCGGUAUGCCGAAUUACAUCUACAUGGCUAACAGGUCUGAUAUCGGAGAAGGCGAUGGCACCCCACUCCAGUACUCCUGCCUGGAAAAUCCCAUGGAUGGAGGAGCCUGGUGGGCUGCAGUCCAUGGGGUCACGAAGAGUCGGACGCGACUGAGUGACUUCACUUCACUUUUCACUUUCAUGCAUUGGAGAAGGCGAUGGCACCCCACUCCAGUACUCUUUCCUGGAGAAUCCCAGGGGCAGGGGAGCCUGGUGGGCUGCCAUCUAUGGGGUCGCACAGGGUCGGACACGACUGAAGCAACUCAGCAGCAGCAGCAGCAGCAGGUCUGAUAUGGGGCUUUCCUGGUGGCUUCCCUGGUGGCUCAGUGGCUCUGCCAGUACAGGACUCCUGCCAAUACAAUAGUCACAGGUUCGGUCCCUGGGUCGGAAAAAUCCCCUGGAGAAGGAAAUAGCUACCCACUCCAGUAUUCUUGCCUCGGAAAUCCCAUGGACAGAGGAGCCUGGUGGGCUGCAGACCAUGGGGUCUCAAAGAGUCACACAACUUAGCAUCUAAACAAUAACAAGGUCUGAUAAGUUUCUCCUAGGAAACAAAUUUUCAGAUUCCCAGAAUCUCAGAGAGAUUUGACCAAAAUAAUCUUCUGAAUAAAAAUUCAAUGACUAACACUCCCGUUUCUGGGGAAGCAGUGCUGACCCUAGCUGGGAAGAACUGGUGAUCUCUAUCAAUCAUUAUUCCUGUUAUAAAAAUAACCACUAUCUUCUAAAAGUUACAUUUCAUCUAAAACCCACCAUUUAUAAAUAGAGCCAUGGGUUUUCUGCUACUAGAUAUGAGCAACUUUUCCCAGAAUUGUGUGUGUGUUUUGUUUGGAAUUUCAUUGCACAAACUGGUAGGUAUAGUUUGUUUCAGUUUUUAGCCAACUGAAUUUUUUGGAGUGAUAUUUUCAUCAAUAGUUCAACUUAGUUGACAUUUAUAGAUUGAUAAGGAGAUUCUAAGCAUGAUUCGGUUUGGGUGUUAUGAUUUGUGAAAAUUUUAAAAAUCUUUUAAAUCACUCACAGAACUUUCUAAGUAUGAAAGAUGUGCAAAGUGUGGCUGAAGGGGCCAGCGAGGUUUACUUAGGGUUUCCGAGAUCCCAGAACUCACAUUCUGGAGGGCACUGGGUCUGGAAGACGUAAUGAAUAGGCUCCAGAUGCUGAUGCUGAAGCUCCAAUCCUUUGGCCACCUGAUGUGAAGAGCCAACUCAUUGGAAAAGACCCUGAUGCUGGAAAAGAUUGAGGGCAGAAACUGAAGGGGGUAGCAGAGGAUGAGAUGGUUGGAUGGCAUCACCGACUCAAUGGAAAUGAGUUUGAGCAAACUCCAGGAGAUGGUGAAGGACAGGGAGGUCUGGUGUGCUGCAGUUCAUGGGGUCGCAAAGGGUCAGAUACAACUUAUUGACUGAAUAACAACAACCAGAGAGGAGCUUCCCAGUAAUUUCAUCUCUGUGUUAAUGCGAGGAAGAUGUAAUACAAUUAGAAAGUCUAAGUCUUCUUAAAGGAGACUUUAAGUCUUUAAAAAGCAAUAACCUUGGCUCCAAGUAAUCAUUGCUGUAGAUUUGGAGGAAUGAUCUGCACAUAAGGGAGUGGAAUCUUACCUGGCCCUCAUGAUUACUGUGGAUUCUUGUGUUUUGACCCAAUUCUUGAGCCUUUUCCCAGUGGAAUAAUUUCAAAGCAGCAAAGAUUUUGAAGAAGGAAUCAAAGACAUGUAACAGAAGCAUCUGCAUUUUCAAAAUAAUCUAUAGGAUGAUGAAGGCAAGUGGCCAGCUGUUGUUCAAACUGAUUCUCAUAGUAAAAAGGAUAAUGUUUUCUUGGGGAAAACUAAAGCAGAUGAAAUAGGAAUGAAUUUAAAUCUAUAAACUCAAGAAUUCAAGAUUUAGUACAGUUUUUGAAAACAACUUUAUCGAAGUAUAACUUAUAUACCAUAUAAUUCAUGCACUGUAACUUCAUAGUUUGAUGAAUUUUAGUAAAUUUAUGUAAAUUUGCCACAAUGGCUAAAAUUCAGUUUUAGAACUCUCCCAUUACCCCCCAAAUUUCCUUUUGUCUAUUUGCAAUCAACCCCCACUCCCACACUCAACCCCAGUCAACCACUGUUCUGCUUCCUGUCUCCAUAGUUUUGCCUCUCCUAGGAAUUCCAUGUAAAUACAAUUCGAGGGUACAAAUCUUUGGUAUCUGCGUCAUUCACUCACACGAUGUUUCGAGUUUCAUUCAUGUCAUUGGGCAUGUGUUAUCAGUCUGUUCUUUUCUAUUGCUGAACAUUAUGCCAAUGUAUAGACACACCACAGCAUCUUUAUUCCUUCACUGUUUGAUGGACAUUUGUUUCCAGUUUGGGGUUAUUAUGAACAAUGUUGCUAUGAUUAUUUGUUUACAACUUUUUGUGUGAACAUAAUGUUUUCAUUUCUUGUAGAUAGAUGCGAAUGAAAUUGCUUAGUCAUGUGGGAAGUGUAGUUUUAACAUUUUGAGAAACUGAAAAUGUUUUCCAAAUUUGCGGAACCUUCUUAUUUUCCCACCAACACUGUAUGACUGGAUAUAUUCAAGCUUUUUUUAUUAUAGUCACCUGAGUGGAUUAAGUAUCUUAUUGUGGUAUCGGUUUGCAUUUCCCUAAUGACUGUUAAUUUUGAGAAUCUCUUCAUGUGCAUAUUAGCCACAUGUAUAUCUAUUUUGGUAAAAUAUUUAUUCUAAUUGUUUGCCCAUUUUCUAUUGGGUUUUCUUGUUAUUGAAUUGUAAGAGUGCUUUAUAUGUUCUGCAAGUCCUUUAUCAGAUAUAUGCCUUGCAAUAAUUUUAUCCCUUUUAAUUUUUUAAAUAGUUUAUUUUUAUAAGUAAAAGCUUUUAGUUUUUUUUUAAAUAUAAAUUUAUGUAUUUUAAUUGGAGGAAGCUUUUAGUUUUGAUGAAGUCCAGUGAACAUGUUUUUCUUUUAUGGAUCAUAAUUUUGGUGUCAUGUCUAAUAAAUAUUUACCUAACCCAAAGUCACAGAGAUUUUCUCCUAUGUUUUCUUCCAGAAAUUUUAUAGAUUUAGGAUGUACCUUUAGAUCUAUGAUUCAGUUUGAGCUAUGUAUGGUAUGUAUGGCGGCUUCCCGAGGGACACUAGUGGUAAAGAACCCGCCUGCAAAUGCAGGAGACAUAAGGGACGUGGGUUUGAUUCCUGGGUUGGGGAGAGGCCCUUGAGGAGGGCAUGGCAGCCUCUUCCAGUAUUCUUGCCUGGAGAACCCCAUGGACAGAGGAGCCCAGCGGGCUACAGUCCAUGGGAGUGGCAUAUGAAUAGACAGUUGUUACAUUACCAUUUUUUGAAAAGGCUAAGGUUUCCCCUGUUGAACUAACACUUUUGUCAAAAUCAAUUGACUAUAAAUAUGAAGGUUUAUUUAUGUAUAUUCUUCUCUGUUCCUUUGAUCUAUAUAUUGUUCUUUACCCCAAUAGCGCAGCAGCUUGAUUAUUGUACCUGUAUUGUAAGUUUUGUAUAAGUCCUCCAAUGUUGUGCUUCUUCUGCAGUCUUUUUCGUUGAAGUAUAGUUGAUUCACAAUGAUUCAGAUGUUUAGAAAACUGAAAACGUAUAUAUAUGUGUGUGUAUGUGAUAUUCUUUUUCAGAUUCUUUUCCAUUACAGGUUAUUACAAGAUACUGAAUAUAGUUCCCUGUGCCAUACGAUGAGGAAGCUGACACUACAGAGAAAGCCAUAGGAUCUCCCUGUGGGAGCAUCUCCAGUGUCUGCCCUGAGCUGGUUCUUCUGCCCUAAGGACUUUGGUCAGACAGGCAGGUCUGAGCAUCACAGAAUCCUGACAUGCACUGAGUUCUUAAUAAAUGCCAGUAAAUCAGACAACAGCCCCCCCACCCCCACCCUUAUAUAACCUCUCUGGUGUCCUGUGCUUUUCCUCUGUGCCAUUAAUUACAGCCUCCAAUUACAGUCAACAUUUGAACUACAUGGUUUGAACUGCACAGGUCCACUUAUACACAAAUUCUUUUCAAUAAUAAAUACCAUGGUACUGCACAGUCUGUGGUUGGUUAAAUCUGAGGGUGUGGAGUUGUGGAUGAAAAGGAAUCAUGUAAUGGAGGGAUGACUCUAAGUUAUAUACUGAUUUUUGAGGGUCGGUGCCCCUAACCCCUGCAUUGUUCAAGGGUCCAUUGUAUAUACUUAUUUGGUGGAAGUCAAUCCUUCUGCACCCAUCUCUUGAUGACAAACACCAAGUCUGUUUUGUUCAAUACCUGUGCACUAGCAAAGAGCCUGGCACAGUGGAGGCUCUUGCUAAAGAGGUUCUAGGUUAAUGAAUGAAAAACAGGCCUUCUCAUAGCAGUUCUGCACAAUUGUGAUACUUGACCACUUUUCUGCCUUAAUUGCUAAUCAAUUAAAUGGGAGUAAUAAUAUAUCUUUCU
ensembl:lncRNA